rnacentral:rRNA from 1 species
AUGAACGCUGGCGGCGUGCCUAAUACAUGCAAGUCGAGCGCACAGACGAGGAGCUUGCUCCUCUGACGUUAGCGGCGGACGGGUGAGUAACACGUGGAUAACCUACCUAUAAGACUGGGAUAACUUCGGGAAACCGGAGCUAAUACCGGAUAACAUGUUGAACCGCAUGGUUCAACAGUGAAAGACGGUCUUGCUGUCACUUAUAGAUGGAUCCGCGCCGCAUUAGCUAGUUGGUAAGGUAACGGCUUACCAAGGCAACGAUGCGUAGCCGACCUGAGAGGGUGAUCGGCCACACUGGAACUGAGACACGGUCCAGACUCCUACGGGAGGCAGCAGUAGGGAAUCUUCCGCAAUGGGCGAAAUCCUGACGGAGCAACGCCGCGUGAGUGAAGAAGGUCUUCGGAUCGUAAAACUCUGUUAUUAGGGAAGAACAAAUGUGUAAGUAACUAUGCACGUCUUGACGGUACCUAAUCAGAAAGCCACGGCUAACUACGUG